CCCGGCCCCAAAUGUCCCCAUAACCCCAAGCAUCCCACAAAGAGGUGACACGGCUGGAAAAUAGGGCACCGGGGGUUUCCCACGUGGGAGGAAGGCGCCGUCCCCAAUGCCAACCGGGGCAUCCCCCUGGUCCCAUUUUGAGGUGAUCCCCCCCAAAAAAGAGGAUGCUCAGAGGCCAACCUGAAGCCACCUCAAUGGCAAUCCUAUGGGGUACCCCAAAACGGAGCCACCCAGAGCAGACACCAGCUCACUUUUUGGGGUGACAGACCCCAUCCCUCCUCCUUUCCGCCCACCCCGGGGUGUCCCUGGUGGGGGGAACCCACCUCAUCGCCCCGUCCCCUUUCCGUGCAGGGUCCCUCUUGGUGUGGGGUGGGGUUUGGGAUUUGGGGGAGGGGGCUUACCUCCAGGGGUGCAGGGUUAGUAACGGGCUGCAGGGGCUGCAGGGGCUGCAGGGGCUCAGCAGCGUCGGGCUCUGGCUGCUCGGGGACAGGCUGCAAGGCAAGGGCAUGAACGGGACCCGGUGCCACGGGGACCCCCCCCGGGGGUGACACCAGGGGGGGGAAAAGGGCUGGGGACAGAGGGAUGAGGGAUGGGGACGGGAGAGGGGAGAGCUGCAGGGGGGGAGCGGGGGUAAGGGGGUGCAGGGAUGAGGGGAUGAUUGGGAUUAGGGGAUGUAGGGAUGUGGGGGUGAGGGGAUGCCCGGGAUGAGGGGAUGAUAAGGAUUAGGGGAUGCUUGGGAUGAGGGGAUGAUUGGGAUUAGGGGAUACCCAGGAUUAGGGGAUGCUCAGGAUGUGGGGAUAUCCCAUUUGGGAUGAGGGGAUGCUCAGGAUUAGGGGAUGCUCGGGAUGCGGGGAUGCCGCCGCCGCCGGCAUCCCAAGCCCGGUACCGGUGCCACCGGCAGCCCCGACUCACUCCAAGGUCAGCGAGGGGAUUUUCAGCCGGUCCCGCCGCGACUUCAUGCCGCCCCUCACCGCCCCGCUCCGCUCCCCGCGCCGCCGCCGCCGCCGCCGCACCGGCAGCCCCCGCGCUGGGCGGCUCCCG
rnacentral:lncRNA from 1 species